rnacentral:rRNA from 1 species
GGGUGCGAUCAUUUCAUCACUAAUGCACGGGAUUCCAUCAGAACUCUGAAGUUAAGCGUGCUUGGGUAAGAAUAGUUCUAAGAUGAGCUUAUCUUAUGACUUUCAUAUAUACAGGAU